rnacentral:rRNA from 1 species
GGAAUCGCUAGUAAUCGCGGAUCAGAAUGCCGCGGUGAAUACGUUCCCGGGCCUUGUACACACCGCCCGUCACACCAUGGGAGUUUGUUGCACCAGAAGUAGCUAGCCUAACUGCAAAGAGGGCGGUUACCACGGUGUGGCCGAUGACUGGGGUGAAGUCGUAACAAGGUAGCCGUAGGGGAACCUGCGGCUGGAUCACCUCCUUA